AGGUGUGGUGAUGUGUUGAGUGUAGCAUGACACAGCAGCUGUUGAUCAGAGCCACAGCUGAUCCAGGAGCGAAUGCUGCUCGAUAACACACUCAAACAUUCAACAUCAGUACUGUCUGCUCCAGCGAUGCUAACAGAGAAGAGGAAGCGUCAGCGCGCUGAAGGGGAUGGCGAAAGCGCUCAGAUGCCUCAGGCCAAGCGACAGAGUUCAGCUCUCCAGAGCUCAGAGACGGCUAGAGAAUCAUGGGAGUCUGAGUCUUCCAGCAGCGAGGGCAGUUGGGUCAGCAGUCCAGAUCACGCCGCAGGGAGCAGCAGCAGUAGUCACUGUGGAGUGGACGUUAUUGGGCCCCACAGCUGCCACGACCCCUGCAGUCCCCACAGUGCCUCCAAGCAGCCGGACCCCGUGGACCCGCUGUCCUACCAGCACAUCAACCGUGUCCUGAAGGAAGCCCAUUUCCACAGCUUACAGAGCCGGGCUCCGUCCAAGCAUAGAUCUCUCUGCUAGAGCUCAUCUUAUCUUGAUAUUUAAUUGGAUGGAAAACAUGCCCUGGUACUGUAAGCUCUUCGACUAACUAGAGCACAACAGUGAUUUUUGUAAGCAAUAACAGCUUGACUACGAUGCAAACUUUUGUGACUUCCACACUGUGUAUUCUUCUUCUGAAAACAGCUGGAUUGAGAGUGAUGAGGGGGGGGGUUUGCACUUGGGAAUGGGUUGAUCAGAUAUUGACGUGGACCAUAUAGCAAUUCAGCCGAGCACAUUUAGAUGGGAGGCUUAAACAUGCCAAAAUAUCCCAAUGCACUUCUGAUUGGUGAACUCCAUCGCAGUGCCGUAACUAAUGCAUAAAGCAGCCAGUCGAUUUCAUCAUAUCAAAGACUGCGCUGGUGGCAUCAGGUGUAAUCUUGACACGACCAUCACUGAAGCUGGUUGCUCAUCCAAGCAUCACGCCUUCGACACCCUGCAGAGGUUUGCUUGUGUGCCGUUCAAAUGCUAGAUUUGAAAGAUCUGUUGUUUAUUUUACUAUACCUUUUUGUAUGGAAAGAUGUACAUUACAGUUUACAUUCAGAUCAUCUACAUUUCUAAAUAAAGAUGUGUGUUCUUAAGCAAAUCUGCGUGUUUGACUGGUGUGAUUGAUUAACUGAAAACAGUAUAGCUGUAGAAUAAAAUAAGCUUUUUUUUGCACUAACAAACAGAUCUAUUUAGUGUCCUUCACUACAAUAUACUUACAUUUGAAUUAAUCAUUAGGUACGAUGCACUUAUUGAGUACAAACAUGUUUUUACAUUGUACUUUUAUUUAAAAAAUACUUGCAUGUAAUUAUGUGUGUAAUUAAUUUAUAAUUGCACUGUUGAGAAUUCCUUAAGUCUCAGCUUAAAUAUUGCGUAUUGGUAUUAUGCCAUAAACCUUACAUAUAAUGGUUUUAUAAUCCAUGACUUACAGUUUUGCAUUGUACUGUACUUUCUGAUUUGAUGGAGUGCUUCAUGGAGUUUCUUUAAGUACAGAGUCUUGUUUCUUUGGCUUUCUGUCUGUAUAGCUGCAUUCUGUAUUUUUCUGUCAUAGUACAUAAUAGAUGACAGAUCCACUGCUUUUCUGGAUGUGUGGUGAAUUACAGCUCAGUGCCAGACCAGACAUUAAUGAGAGAUGAUCUGUGCUUCGAGGAGUUGUGGGAAAAGGUCAUUUUAAUUAGAGCACUACAUGUCCUUGUCUUGCGCUGCAUAACUGAUUACAUCUAUUAAUUUGCCCCUGGCUCCCCGUCUCUGCGUCCUCAUUAGAGCUCCUGCAGAAAGCACAGGUCUUCCUUCACUGCACGAGCACGACAGGGGUGUCCAAAAUGACCCUGGAUCAGUUUAUCAGGUCUUGAUUUGGAUUAUAUUCUCCUGUACUUGAUAUUUGAUACUGACUAGAUUACUGACAAAAGUGCAUGUGUUGUUGCCUGUGAAAUGCUAUGUUUGCUAGGCAUUUUGAAGAGUGUUUUGUGUAGAUGCUCAAUAGACCAUCCCAAAAACUUAAAUUAAUUGAAGUUUAAAUGAAUCUGAUUAAUUUAGACAAUUUAUAAAGGGCUGAAGAAAAGUUUUCAGAACACAAUGGACUCAAUGAACCACAUUCACUCAUCAAAGAAGCACAAUAAAUCAUAUACAGGCAUUUAACAAUAUAAUAUUAAGGUGUAAACAUUGUUAAAUUGUACUUUAGUAGAACCUGAAUCGGGUGUUUUAUCACAAUUACCCAGAAGCAUCACAAUGGAUACCAGCAGAUGGCAGCAGACGUAUUAACACUCACUGUGCCACGUGUAAUUCUGUCAUUCAGAACUGUUACUUCAUUUUUUAAUAUAAGACAGAUAAAUAAGAAGCAUUUAUGAUGAACCUGUUAACUACGGAGACUAAUGUUAUGGUGAAGCCUGUAGAGAGUUAAAUCAGCUGUCCUUGUUCUGGUGUCUGGUGCACAUACCUUGUUUUAUUUUUACCAUCCACCAUUAAAAUCUGGGUUACACUCAAGGCCUUUUGGUCCUUGUCCCGUUCCUGAAAUGAGAGACUGAAGCCAGAAUAUACGACUAUAGCAGUUUAUAAGGCCUGCGUGCAUAUUCAGCAAGGCCAACAAAAUCUUCACAGUUUCAAGUCAACAUGUGAUGCUAUCUGGGAUUUACUUUCUUAAUACACAUUCUGCUCUCCCAUGCAUCAAUGCAUGUUAUUUCAAACACAAUACUACUGAAUCAACUUUAUUGUUUUGCUGAUGUCACAAAUCCCUCUCACCUUUCACCUCCAUUUAGAAAAUAGAUAGAGAAGUCAUCAAAAACUCAAAAUAGGAAAGAAGGUUCAGCUCUAGUAAAAAGAGCCUUACUUGACAAAUCAUAGGCCAUUAUGUGAAACUGGAAUCUGAAACGAAUCCAGACUGACUGGCCUGGUGUGAAGCUGGCACAAGAAGAGCUAGCGGUCCUCAGUCGUAAGCCAACACUAACAUCUGCUCCAUCAGAGGAAGAAAAGCUCUCGACAGCCUCCUCCAUCCCCAUCACUCCUGCUAAUGACUGGCCACUCCUGUCAUUAAAGCCUUAUUACUUUAAUACAGAGAAGAGAAGAACACCCCGGAAAACCGCAGGGGCGAGAGGUGCAACUGUUACAUGGACACAUGAAUGGCUGGGUGUUCUGCUUGGGAUAACUAUAUUCCCAUUUCUAAUGAACACUUCUGGAAACUGUUUAUGGUUUCUCACAUACCUUACAUCAGCUGGCUGGAGGUUUAGACUAUUAACUCUCCACACAUUAGACAUACAAAUCAUCUGAAAUGUUAUUUCUUUUUUAAGCUGCUAGCUUGCCAAUGGAAGGAAGCAACUAACGAGACAAAGACACUGAAUCGUUUAAUUGAAUCAUUUUAACUUAAUAUCCAAAUCAUUUAGCUUGAAACCAUAAUAUGAUGUCAAUAUAAAGGCAUUCAUUUCAAAUUUUUAGUUCGCCCAAAAAUGAAAAUGUACUCCACUUUAAGGUGUUCCAAACACACAAGACUUCUCUGAAACACAAACAAAGAUACUUUUCAGUGAUCAAAUAUGGGAAACGCGGAAAAAGCUCAAAUGUCAACCGCGUGAUUUGUUAAAACCGACCUGGUUUGUAGUGUGUGAGAAACGCACAUUUGAGCAUCUGUGUUUACCAUAUUUGAAGCGCACUGUAUGUGCACUGAUCGUAAAAGUCAAGUGAUAAAGUUAUAAAG
ensembl:lncRNA